GGAAUAUUGCACAAUGGGCGCAAGCCUGAUGCAGCCAUGCCGCGUGUAUGAAGAAGGCCUUCGGGUUGUAAAGUACUUUCAGCGGGGAGGAAGGCGGUGAGGUUAAUAACCUCAUCGAUUGACGUUACCCGCAGAAGAAGCACCGGCUAACUCCGUGCCAGCAGCCGCGGUAAUACGGAGGGUGCAAGCGUUAAUCGGAAUUACUGGGCGUAAAGCGCACGCAGGCGGUCUGUCAAGUCGGAUGUGAAAUCCCCGGGCUCAACCUGGGAACUGCAUUCGAAACUGGCAGGCUAGAGUCUUGUAGAGGGGGGUAGAAUUCCAGGUGUAGCGGUGAAAUGCGUAGAGAUCUGGAGGAAUACCGGUGGCGAAGGCGGCCCCCUGGACAAAGACUGACGCUCAGGUGCGAAAGCGUGGGGAGCAAACAGGA
rnacentral:misc_RNA from 1 species